UGUGAUGGGGAGCGAAAUUUAGUAGCGAAGUAGCUGAUUUCACACUGUCAAGAAAAGUCUCUAUCGAGGUUAAAGGUACCCGUACCGCAAACCGACACAGGUGGGUGAGGAGAGUAUCCUAAGGCCAGCGAGAGAACUGUUGUUAAGGAACUCGGCAAAAUGACCCCGUAACGUAGGGAUAAGGGAUGCCACCAUCAGGUGGCCGCAGAGAAUAGGCCCAAGCGACUGUUUACCAAAAACAUAGGUUUCUGCUAAGUCGCAAGACGAUGUCUGGGAGCUAACGCCUGCCCGGUGCUGGUAUGUUGAGGGGAACUGUUAGUGCAAGCGAAGCAGUGGACUUAAGCC
rnacentral:rRNA from 1 species